UCNUGACUUACCGUGGUCGGCCGCCCCCCUUACGGGUCANCAAGACCGCCUUCGGGUAAAACCAACUCCCAUGGCGUGACGGGCGGUGUGUACAAGGCCCGGGAACGUAUUCACCGCGGCAUGCUGAUCCGCGAUUACUAGCGAUUCCAACUUCAUGCACUCGAGUUGCAAAGUGCAAUCCGAACUGAGACGGCUUUUCGGGAUUGGCUCAGGCUCGCGCCUUCGCCGCCCGCUGUCACCGCCAUUGUAGCACGUGUGUAGCCCACCCCGUAAGGGCCAUGAGGACUUGACGUCAUCCCCGCCUUCCUCCGGCUUGUCACCGGCAGUUUCUCCAAAGUGCCCAGCCUUACCCGAUGGCAACUGAAGAUGAGGGUUGCGCUCGUUGCGGGACUUAACCCAACCAUCCUCACCGAACAC
rnacentral:rRNA from 1 species